UCUAACUUAGGGAUAAGAAUGGUGUUUAUCGGGCGACUGUAUAGCAAAUACACAGGCUUUAGUUAAAGAUGUUUAUAUUUUUGAACUGAUAUGUGACCAGUGUUUCAGAGUCUUUUUUUCAACCUCAUUCCAAACGUUGGCCCUAACUAUAAGGGUCCCAAAGUAGCAAAUUUCCUUGUCGUUUAAGUAACGACCUGCAUGAAAGAUGGAAUGGUCUAGAUAGGUGUCUUGCGUAGAUGUGGUGGUGAAAUAUUAGGUAGUGUGAAGAUACGCUAACAACUUUAUGGGACAAAAAGACCCUCUGAAGCUUUAUAUGCCUAGAAUUUAGUACGGGUUCUAUAUUGGUGUGUAGUCGGGAGUUUAAUGUCAGCCUUAUUAGUGGAACCCGCUACCCCCAAGAAAGCAAGCUAAUUGAAUAGACUUUCAGCCAAUUUGGCACCAAAAUAAACUAAUGUUUGAGUACUUUUUAAUUGGGGCGAUAACCUUCUUGAAUGGAAGCAAAGGUGAACAAACCUGGACCCUUGCCCUUUGAUAAAGGCACUAGUAAGUGCAAAGAUAGAUCUCUCGCUUAAUGCUCAAGCUUUUUUUGAUCCACUUUGUUAAUGCACUAUCUUAAUAAGCUUAUUUGCAAAUCUACCAACUAAAAGCUACUCAAGUCUAUUAUAAGCUCUUGAAGCUCACAUUUUCAGAAUGCUUUGGCACCUCGAUGUCGGCUUAUCUAAACCAAAAUCUGUAGUAGGUUUAUUGGUGCGAGUGCUCAUCGGAUAACAACUUACGUGAGCUGGGUUCAGAACGAUGUAAAUCAGUUUGGUCUAUAUCUGUAAUUUUAAUGCAAUUAUAAAAUGAUGAUCUUCUUUGCUCAGUACGCAAGGACCAG
rnacentral:rRNA from 1 species